GGAGUUUGCUGUUGGCCUGCGAAGACCCUUUAUGGGACAUGGAUCAAAAGUGCUGUUCCUCGAGAUACUUACCUCCAGUAUAGGAUCCUGGUGUCAAAAGGAAUCAGAUACGGCUCCAUUGUACAUGGCAUGACUUGUAUAGCCAGACAGAGCAGGUGUGGAAACUUCUGGAUGCCUGCUCUUGUGAGUUCACCUCUAUGUCUACUCUACUGAGGCCUCUCCAUACAGGUAGAGUGACUUGUGGGAGGCCUGUUACAUCCUCAGGCCACACCUGGUCUCAGUUUCCUGCCUUCCUGGGAAGUGGGGAAAGGCUGAGAGGCCCCGUGCUGGGGGUGAAGCUAAUUCAUUAGUUACGCCUCAACAAGGACCGGGUGCCUGCAGUGCCAGCGUGAUUCAUCAUGAUGAUUGCCCCACUGCCAGCCUGCGUGGGCCUGGAACGCCAGCACAUUUUACCUUUACCCACUGAGAAGGGCCUGGUGGGAGGUGAAGGUACAGGAUCUGCCGAGAGCAAGAAAAAGACUCUGAGAAAGAAGAGGGCUGGUCCUCCAUGCUCUCGGCCCCAGGAAGCUCUGCCAGGCUGGUGCCGGGGUGGAGAGGCUCAUGUGGGCUCAUGUGGUGCUGCCUGUGCUGAUGGAGCCCAAGAGGGCAGCCUGGCGCUGGGUGCCAGCCUGAGCAUGUGGCGAGGCUGGGCUGCUGAGCCUCCUCCUCCACAGCCAAUGUUCCCUCAAACUGCUUGGGGGUGGGGGGAGGGACUCAUCCUCAUCCCAUUAGCCUGGCUGGGUAUUCCCUACCUUUCUGGUCUCUGAGAGACUUACCUCUUCCAAGAAGUCCUCCCGAAUGAGUAGAAGGGAGAGAGCUGGAUUGGAACUUAAGUGACAUCUGGGAGGAGCCUGAAGCCCCUCCGGUUGGGGCUGAGACUCCUAUACCCUAGGUCUGGUGUCUGGGUUCCACCUGGGUCCUCUACCUUGGCCUGGAUUCCUGCUUUCGUUUUGCCAGUCUCUCCCAGGAUGGGGGUGCAUGGCUGGUUCGUGGCUCAGAGCAACAUCUGCCUCUGUGUCCCCCCAUCAUCUGUCCGCCCCCUAACACCUCUUGCCAUAUUAGAAUUGCUAUUGCUCUGUCCUUUCAUUCAUGUAUCCAACAAAUAUAUAUUAUCUGAAAAAAA
rnacentral:lncRNA from 1 species